rnacentral:rRNA from 1 species
UACGUAGGGUGCAAGCGUUGUCCGGAAUUAUUGGGCGUAAAGAGCUCGUAGGCGGCCUGUCGCGUCGGCUGUGAAAACCCGGGGCUCAACCCCGGGCCUGCAGUCGAUACGGGCAGACUAGAGUGUGGUAGGGGAGACUGGAAUUCCUGGUGUAGCGGUGAAAUGCGCAGAUAUCAGGAGGAACACCGGUGGCGAAGGCGGGUCUCUGGACCACUACUGACGCUGAGGCGCGAAAGCUAGGGGAGCAAACAGG